rnacentral:rRNA from 1 species
UUAAGCGACUAAGCGUACACGGUGGAUGCCCUGGCAGUCAGAGGCGAUGAAGGACGUGCUAAUCUGCGAAAAGCGUCGGUAAGGUGAUAUGAACCGUUAUAACCGGCGAUGUCCGAAUGGGGAAACCCAGUGCAAUUCGUUGCACUAUCGUUAACUGAAUACAUAGGUUAACGAGGCGAACCGGGGGAACUGAAACAUCUAAGUACCCCGAGGAAAAGAAAUCAACCGAGAUUCCCCCAGUAGCGGCGAGCGAACGGGGAGCAGCCCGGAGUCUGAAUCAGCUUGUGUGUUAGUGGAAGCGUCUGGAAAGUCGCAGGGUACAGGGUGAUACUCCCGUACACUAAAACACACAGGCUGUGAACUCGAAGAGUAGGGCGGGACACGUGGUAUCCUGUCUGAAUAUGGGGGGACCAUCCUCCAAGGCUAAAUACUCCUGACUGACCGAUAGUGAACCAGUACCGUGAGGGAAAGGCGAAAAGAACCCCGGCGAGGGGAGUGAAAAAGAACCUGAAACCGUGUACGUACAAGCAGUAGGAGCCCCACCACCAAAGCGUUUCGCUUUGCGUGGUGCGCAAAAUGCGUAACGACAGCAUGAUGGACGGUUAACGGAGCGUCAGCGACGUUCAACGUCAAAAAUCAGGCAGUGGAGCGUUUUGGGGUGGGGUGACUGCGUACCUUUUGUAUAAUGGGUCAGCGACUUAUAUUCUGUAGCAAGGUUAACCGUAUAGGGGAGCCGCAGGGAAACCGAGUCUUAACUGGGCGUUAAGUUGCAGGGUAUAGACCCGAAACCCGGUGAUCUAGCCAUGGGCAGGUUGAAGGUUGGGUAACACUAACUGGAGGACCGAACCGACUAAUGUUGAAAAAUUAGCGGAUGACUUGUGGCUGGGGGUGAAAGGCCAAUCAAACCGGGAGAUAGCUGGUUCUCCCCGAAAGCUAUUUAGGUAGCGCCUCGUGAAUUCAUCUUCGGGGGUAGAGCACUGUUUCGGCUAGGGGGUCAUCCCGACUUACCAACCCGAUGCAAACUACGAAUACCGAAGAAUGUUAUCACGGGAGACACACGGCGGGUGCUAACGUCCGUCGUGAAGAGGGAAACAACCCAGACCGCCAGCUAAGGUCCCAAAGUCAUGGUUAAGUGGGAAACGAUGUGGGAAGGCCCAGACAGCCAGGAUGUUGGCUUAGAAGCAGCCAUCAUUUAAAGAAAGCGUAAUAGCUCACUGGUCGAGUCGGCCUGCGCGGAAGAUGUAACGGGGCUAAACCAUGCACCGAAGCUGCGGCAGCGACACUAUGUGUUGUUGGGUAGGGGAGCGUUCUGUAAGCCGUUGAAGGUGGCCUGUGAGGGUUGCUGGAGGUAUCAGAAGUGCGAAUGCUGACAUAAGUAACGAUAAUGCGGGUGAAAAACCCGCACGCCGGAAGACCAAGGGUUCCUGUCCAACGUUAAUCGGGGCAGGGUGAGUCGACCCCUAAGGCGAGGCCGAAAGGCGUAGUCGAUGGGAAACAGGUUAAUAUUCCUGUACUUGGUGUUACUGCGAAGGGGGGACGGAGAAGGCUAUGUUGGCCGGGCGACGGUUGUCCCGGUUUAAGCAUGUAGGCGGAUGUUCCAGGUAAAUCCGGAGCGUCACUAACGCUGAGGUGUGAUGACGAGGCACUACGGUGCUGAAGUGACAAAUGCCCUGCUUCCAGGAAAAGCCUCUAAGCAUCAGGUAACAUCAAAUCGUACCCCAAACCGACACAGGUGGUCAGGUAGAGAAUACCAAGGCGCUUGAGAGAACUCGGGUGAAGGAACUAGGCAAAAUGGUGCCGUAACUUCGGGAGAAGGCACGCUGAUGGUAGGUGAAGUGACUUGCUCAUGGAGCUGAAAUCAGUCGAAGAUACCAGCUGGCUGCAACUGUUUAUUAAAAACACAGCACUGUGCAAACACGAAAGUGGACGUAUACGGUGUGACGCCUGCCCGGUGCCGGAAGGUUAAUUGAUGGGGUUAUCCUCGCGGAGAAGCUCUUGAUCGAAGCCCCGGUAAACGGCGGCCGUAACUAUAACGGUCCUAAGGUAGCGAAAUUCCUUGUCGGGU